ACCUGAAGUGCAUUCUUAAUCACUGAAUUGCAUCGAAAGUGCAUCAAAUUCUUAAAUGAAAUUCGGAGUACUUUAACCCUUGAACAACGAAGUCUUGGUUAAUCGAGACCUAAACUUACAAAACAAGAACAGUAUAGAAUUUAGGGAAUGAAAAUUGGAGCUCGUCCGAGGAUUACUUAAUGCAAUAUAUGAUAAGAGAUAUAUGAAUUGUUAUUUAAAAUUUUUAAUUUAUACUCAAGAUGUCUGAUGCUUCACCAACAGAAUAAGUAUUAGAAAAAUGAAUUCAAAAUUUAAUCAACAUAACAUUUGCAAUAUAUUUAAUACAAAGGAAUAUCUUUUACGUUUUAGCGUACCACUUUCACAACCUACGUCCUAUGUUAACCAUGACCUCUGAGUUGGAACAAUCAGUCAUUACGCCUAACAUAAUGUCUCGUAUAUCGCACGGCAUAAGUAUUUACUCCCAAAGUAAUUAAGACGUUGACCGUCAUGGGAGGUUACUCAAUUCAGACCUCGUAAAAUGAUAAGCCAGCAGAAAAGAAAAGGUAAACUUUUAAUAAGUUUAAUAUAUCAAAUAACGGAUUUCGAAAGAUAUAAAGUCUACCACAAUUCGAUGACAUAAAAGCAUCACAAAAUAACACUUACACCAUAUCGAUUUGAAGCUUAAUAUUUGAUGAAAAUGAUUAUAUA